UCCUGGCUCAGGAUGAACGCUGGCGGCGUGCCUAAUACAUGCAAGUCGAGCGAAUGGAUUAAGAGCUUGCUCUUAUGAAGUUAGCGGCGGACGGGUGAGUAACACGUGGGUAACCUGCCCAUAAGACUGGGAUAACUCCGGGAAACCGGGGCUAAUACCGGAUAACAUUUUGAACCGCAUGGUUCGAAAUUGAAAGGCGGCUUCGGCUGUCACUUAUGGAUGGACCCGCGUCGCAUUAGCUAGUUGGUGAGGUAACGGCUCACCAAGGCAACGAUGCGUAGCCGACCUGAGAGGGUGAUCGGCCACACUGGGACUGAGACACGGCCCAGACUCCUACGGGAGGCAGCAGUAGGGAAUCUUCCGCAAUGGACGAAGUCUGACGGAGCAACGCCGCGUGAGUGAUGAAGGCUUUCGGGUCGUAAAACUCUGUUGUUAGGGAAGAACAAGUGCUAGUUGAAUAAGCUGGCACCUUGACGGUACCUAACCAGAAAGCCACGGCUAACUACGUGCCAGCAGCCGCGGUAAUACGUAGUGGCAAGCGUUAUCCGGAUUAUUGGGCGUAAGCGCGCGCAGGUGGUUCUUAGUCUGAUGUGAAAGCCCACGGCUCAACCGUGGAGGGUCAUUGGAAACUGGGAGACUUGAGUGCAGAAGAGGAAAGUGGAAUUCCAUGUGUAGCGGUGAAAUGCGUAGAGAUAUGGAGGAACACCAGUGGCGAAGGCGACUUUCUGGUCUGUAACUGACACUGAGGCGCGAAAGCGUGGGGAGCAAACAGGAUUAGAUACCCUG
rnacentral:rRNA from 1 species